GUAAUUAUUAAUAUUAUUAUUAUAAUUAUUAUAAUUUUCCCCUUUCUUUGUUAUUUUCUCAAUAUUCUUCUUGCAAUUUUUGUUUGCAAUAUUUUUCUCAUUUUCCUUUUCUUGAUUCAUAUUUUUUCUCUUCCAAACAGACCCUUUAGAGCUUUUGAUCAUCCUUUUGUGGAAUUAUAGAAAAGGAAAAAAAUAAUUUCUUUGUUUUCUUUUGGUUUUUUU
rnacentral:misc_RNA from 1 species